rnacentral:rRNA from 1 species
GAAAGAUGAAAAGAACUUUGAAAAGAGAGUAAAAUAGUACGUGAAAUUGUUGAAAGGGAAACGAUUGAAGUCAGUCGUACCGACGAGAAAUCAACUCUUCGAGUGCGGGCUUGUGGGCAUGCGGGUGUCUCGUUGUUUGCAACGUCUGUGCUUUUUGGGUGUACUUUUUCGUAUGGUAGGCCAACAUCAGUUUCGAUUAUCAUAAAAUGGCCGGAGGAAUGUAGCUUCGAUUUCGGUUGAAGUGUUAUA